UACAGAGGGUGCAAGCGUUAAUCGGAAUUACUGGGCGUAAAGGGUGCGUAGGUGGUUUGAUAAGUUGGGUGUGAAAGUCCUGGGCUUAACCUGGGGAUUGCGCUUAAUACUGUUGAGCUAGAGUACUGUAGAGGAAGGUGGAAUUUCCGGUGUAGCGGUGAAAUGCGUAGAUAUCGGAAGGAACAUCAGUGGCGAAGGCGACUUUCUGGACAGAUACUGACACUGAGGCACGAAAGCAUGGGGAGCAAAC
rnacentral:rRNA from 1 species